UACGUAGGGUGCGAGCGUUGUCCGGAAUUAUUGGGCGUAAAGAGCUCGUAGGCGGUUUGUCGCGUCUGCUGUGAAAACCCGAGGCUCAACCUCGGGCCUGCAGUGGGUACGGGCAGACUAGAGUGCGGUAGGGGAGAUUGGAAUCCUGGUGUAGCGGUGGAAUGCGCAGAUAUCAGGAGGAACACCAAUGGCGAAGGCAGAUCUCUGGGCCGUAACUGACGCUGAGGAGCGAAAGCAUGGGGAGCGAACAGG
rnacentral:rRNA from 1 species